AGUUUGAUCCUGGCUCAGGAUGAACGCACAAGACGUGCCUAACACAUGCAAAUCGAAUGAAAAUAAUUAAUUAUUGUUUUCAUGGUGAACGGGUGAGUAACACAUAAGAAUCAGCUUUUAGAUAAGGCAUAAAAGAGUAAUAUCUUGGUAAUUCCUUAUAUGCGCAGCAGUGCUUAAAAAGGGGAGUCCCGUCUAAAAACGAGCUUAUGCCUGAUUAGCUAGUUGGCGAGUUAAAAGCUCACCAAGGCGAAGAUCAGUAGCUGGCCUGAGAGGGCGGCCAGCCACAUUGGGACUGAGACACGGCCCAAACUCCUACGGGAGGCAGCAGUGGGGAAUCUUCUGCAAUGGGCGCAAGCCUGACAGAGCGGCGUCGUGUGAAGGAAGAAGGCCUGAAAUAGGUUGUAAACUUCUUUUACUGAGUAAUGAAUAAUGACAACGCAGUAAAAAAGUAUCGGCUAACUCCGUGCCAGCAGCCGCGGUAAUACGGGGGAUGCAAGCGUUAUCCGGAAUAACUGGGCGUAAAGCGUCUGUAGGUGGUUUAGUGUGUUCUUAGUUAAAUUCUGAAGCCUAACUUCAUGAAAAGUAAGAAAACUAUUAGACUUGAGUACGAUAGGGGUAAGAGGAAUUCUUCGAGAAGUAGUGAAAUGCGAAGAUACGAAGGAGAAGAUCAUAAGCGAAGGCUUCUUACUGGGUCGUAACUGACACUGAGAGACGAAAGCUAGGGGAGCGAAUGGGAUUAGAUACCCCAGUAGUCCUAGCUGUAAACGAUGGAUAUUCGGUGCCGGAAAUUUUAUUAGAACAUUUCGGUACCCUAGCUAACGCGUUAAAUAUCCCGCCUGAGGAGUACGCUCGCAAGGGUGAAACUCAAAGGAAUUGACGGGGGCUCGCACAAGCGGUGGAGCAUGUGGUUUAAUUCGAUGCAAAGCGAAGAACCUUACCAGGGCUUGA
rnacentral:rRNA from 1 species